GAGACCUGUACCUACAAUUGCCAUCGAACUAUGUGAUCGGGCACAUUGUAGGAACUGCCUUGGAAACAAGGAGGAAGGUGCAGGCAACGGUAGGUCUGUAUGCCCCGAAUCCUCUGGGCUACACGCGCGCAACAAUGGUAUGGACAAUGGGAUGCAACUCCGAAAGGAGAAGCUAAGCCUCUAAACCAUAUCUUAGUCCAGAUUGUGGCUUGUAACUCAGCCACAUGACGUUGGAAUCCCUAGUAACCAGGUGUUAUCAACGCCCGGUGAAUAU
rnacentral:rRNA from 1 species